GCGGGGGAUCGCAAGGACUUCGCGUUUGGAAGGAGGAGCUUGCGGCAGAUUAGCUAGUUGGUAAGGUAACGGGCUUACCAAGGCGAUGAUCUGUAGCCGGCCUGAGAGGGCGGUCGGCCACACUGACACUGACAUACGGGUCAGACUCCUACGGGAGGCAGCAGUCGGGAAUUUUGGGCAAUGGGCGAAAGCCUGACCCAGCAACGCCGCGUGAAGGAUGAAAUCCCUCGGGAUGUAAACUUCGCAAGAACGGGAAGAAUAAGUAAGGGUUAA
rnacentral:rRNA from 1 species